GAAUUCCACCCAUGUGGUCCCUGGCCUGGAAUGUGACACUAGCCACAGAGUGAAGGUUAGGAAAGAGAGUUGGCUUUCUAUGUGAUCCUGGGCAAGCCACCCACUUGUCAGAGCUUCAGUCUCCCCACUGUGAAGGACAGAUUGUCAUUUCUAUCUCCACCAGAGAUAGGUGUGUAGGGCUAAAAGCGGAGAACGCCAAAGACUUCUUCUGCAGUUCCUCUCUCUGUGCCUUGGAUGACCCUCCCAGCUACAAAUUCUAGGCAGUCUGUUCUGCUCGGGCACGUGUUACUUUGUUCUCAAGCCCAUCACACCAUGCAGACAUCACCACAAGGCCCACCAUCUCCUUCUGGAGACUAGCACAUCCUUCAGGGAGCUGGAACCAGUUGUGAAUUGAAGGAUGCCAAGCAUCUGCUGAACAGCAAGAAAACAAUCAAACUGGUGAAAAUUGCAGCUUGACAUGGCACAGGGAGAGGACCACAGAACUGGAAGGCAGGAGGCCUGGUACUGGUCUUCACUCUGUUACUAACUCAGUUAUCCACUCAUUCACACUUUCAACAAAUAUCAAGCACUUCUGUGUUCAGGCACUGUUCUAAGUCCUGCAGAUGUAAUGGUGACAAGAUCCUAGCUCUUCUGGGACUUACCAUCCAGAAAAGAGUCAGACACACAGAGAGGAAAACAUAUAUGAGAGAAUAGGUUGAUGUCAUAGGGAAUGACUGGAUGGGCUACCUCAGUUUUGAGGUCAGGAAGGGCGUCUCUGAGUACUGACAUUUCAGCUGAAGUGUGAGUCACUAAUAUAAAAAGUAAACAGUCAUUCAAGGAUCCUGAGGAAGAAUAUUCCAGGAUGAACACCCAGUGCAAAAGUCCUAAGGUAGAAAUAGAUUUCGGGUUUUCAUGGGACAAAAAGACCAGUAUUGCUUGAGUGGAGAGAUGAGUGGAAAGUGAUUUGAAAUGACUUUGAAGAGCUAGGCAGAAGCCAUGUAACAUCUUGCUUUAAGGAAUUUGGACUUUAUUUCAAGUACAAUGGGAAACCACGGGAAGGUUUUCUGCAGAAGAGUGACAAGAUUAUUCCGGCUACCUUGUCAAGAAUGGAUGGUAGAGUGGUUCCAGGUGGAUCAGCUGGAAAGCUAGUGUAGUCAUUGAGGUAAUGGUGGCUUGGACAUCAGUGACUU
rnacentral:lncRNA from 1 species